AAAACACCUUAUCUUCUCAAACACAUAUACAUAAUAUACAUAACACAGACAAAACACCCACAUAUGAAAAUCAAAUCUCAUCCAUCUCAACAAACCAUCAACACACUCCCUCAUCCUCUCCCCCUCUGAUGAAGAUGAACGGCCGGACUCCGGCCAGGCAUAGCGGAGCCGGCGACGGCGGUGGUGGCUCUGAACGACGGCAACACCCACCCCCAUAUCCUUCAUCUCUUUCAUCAUGCCCGACGAGCAGAAUCAGCCGGCCACCACCACUUUUGGGUGGUGGCGUGCGACAGCGACAAGCAGAAAGAAAGAGAGAGAGGAUUCGGAAAGAAAGAGAGACCGGAGUAGGUGAAGCGACGGCGGCAAACAGCGCCGCCGUCUACGGUGGUGAUACGGAGGAGCGGCGACGGGGGGGUUAGAUGGUUUUAUUCAGCUGAUGUUGUGGAUUCGGGGCUUAGAUUCAACAGAUUCGUGGUUCGGGUUCUGAGAUGGUUUGAGUUUGGGUUCAGAUUCGUGUUCAGGUUUUAAGUUCAUCUCAGAUUUCAUGCUCGGGUUCUCGGGUCAGAUUCCGAGUCUCGUUUCGGCGGGUUUUCGUGUCCCGUUCGGGUUCAGUCAACAGAUGGGUUCAAGUCAGCUGGUCAGCUCGUUGUUCGGGUCAAGCGGCUUGGUCAGACGGUCCGGUUUGGUUAACUCGGUCAAACCGAGUCAACUCGGUCAAACCCGCUUAACUCAGCCAACUUCCUUCGGCAUCUCGACACGAAGAUUCGGAAUAUUGUAGAAUGCACGCUAGCGAGUCUCGUCUUGGAAACGACAUUACGAAGUCGUAAUUAGCUAGCUUUGCACAAGACAAUCCAGGUUGCAUUUCAAAGUUAAGGCACGGUUGGAAUAGGAGAACCAUUGAGGAUUCGAGUACUUAGUUGGCGUUCGUUUUCUAGAAGUCUUAGCUUAAUUUGCUUCCGCUGUGAAAUGAAGAUACCAGUCCAGUCAAGCCAGCUCUGAUAUUUCAGGGUGUGACAGAUUGGUAUCAGAGCUAUAGGUUAUAGCAAAUUAGGUUUAUGUAGAGAUACCUAGGCUCUAACCUCACUUUCCUCUGGGAACUUAGAAUAUUAAAACCUGAACACAUACAGAACGCCUAAGACUCGAAUAUGGUCUCCAACCGUUGCCGAAAAACAAACAUUCAAAAUUUUGCUUUCAAACAUACGCUAAAGUGGUGUUUUACACACGGUACACAAAACAGUCGCAUACAGUACAUAAAACUCUGAGAGUUUAGGAAACAUGCAUUUAAGACCUUCGGAAACUCAUGUUGAAGUUCAUCACGUAGGAACCACGUUUAUUAACUCGGACAAACGCCAUUAUUAUGUCAUCCAUGCUAUUUUAAGUAACCGAGCAGGUAACCUACGCAAAACAAAGUUCGGGCGCGCAAAUUACACGAAACUCAACCUAUACGUCAAUGGAGGUUGAAGUAUGUCAUGUACGAAUAUCGAGGCAAGGUCUUUGAGAAGACAUGAUGGCGCGACUGUAUGACGCAAGAUUCCGUCAGCAGGAGGACUACCGAAUCAUGAUGCGGCAACUUGUCACGCGAUCCUGCAACGACAAAAAUCACGCCAGGAGAAGACGUAUGUCUCCGCAUUCCCCCUAUCGCAUUAACGACGAAUACGCUAUGUUCGACAUUCUCUGGUAAUGUCACCUAACAACCGGUUAUCACAUGCAACCCCAGGUAAAGUCCUUAAGUUUCUUUUAUUGAAAUUCCGACUUUUGCAUCUAGUGAGUAGAUUUUCACAUCUCUACUCCUCUUAAUGGUCAUUGUAUCACGAUCAUUUCUUUCAUUAUAACGAAUACUCGUUGCUUUAUUUCUUGAGGAAUACAUAUGUUACGCAUGCAUUGUUUGUUACGCAUGUGGCUUCGUUUCGAAUAAGCGUUUCAUUUGUUCCGAGUCAUAGUGGACUUGUUUGGUCUAUGACUCCAUUAAGUUGUUUGUUGAUUUCGACACCUUGUGAUGGUGUUUUCACUAAUUGAGGCUUGCACUAAUCUCGUUUACAUAUCUCAUGCACGGAUUUAAAUUAUUUAUUUAUUGAUUUGCUUUAAAUUCGCUUUGAUUUAUCAUAUUACAGCAGUCUUAACACAAUCAUGUGUUAAGGCAAUGGUACACAAAUUCAUUCUAUAUUCCGGUGUACCUACUAAAGUUUCUUUCAACAUCGAUCGAAUAUUUUGCGAUAUUUAUUGCUUCUUCGUCUUCGAUCGAAAAAAGUGUUUCUUUGAUGUUCCAUUUUCAAUUGAAAAUUCUAUGAUGUCAUUUGAAACAAACUUUCAGAUUCACUUUGUUGCGCUUUCAUUUGAUUUCAAACACGGUGAAUUUGUUUGAACACCGAUAUUAUUGAAUUAUUUAAAUCACUACGACACCUUGUGGUGUCAGUACAAACUGGUAGCUUAGGCUAAUCAUGAUUGAGCGAUUUAUGCAAACACGGGUGAUACUUGUUCGAUCACCGCUAUAUUUGAAUUGUUUCAUUCACUACGACACCUUGUGGCGUCAGUAGAACUUGCAGCUUGCGCUGAUCAUGAUCGAGCUUUUCAUGCAAAACUAUUUUCUUGAACUUGAUGAUUCUAAUUUCCAUUUAGUAGAUGUUAUCGUUUCUAGAAUUCAUUUGCAUAUUGUAAACGUCCACUUGGAAUUCUAUUGGUUGAAAUUCCUCUUUUAUUGGACCCCUGUUAACUUGGUCACAUUGAUGACUGUAUCAGUAUAUCUCGUUUCCUUUGACAUUAUUCGUAUUUACUUACGCAUAACGUAACUCUAAGGAGUUAACGUAAUCUAAAUUUCGAGUACGAAAUUUUAUUAACAGGGGGAGAAUGUGACAACCGGUGAUUUACGGCUUUUAAUUACGCGAUUAACAGACGAUUAACGCGACUACGAUGGAUACCGACAUUAUUUUUUUACACGUUUCUUUUUAACUCUGAAAUGUUAUUUUACUAGGCUAUGGUGAUUUCGGUUUUAAAAACGUGUCUCGGGCCACUUACACAUGAGAUGGGCUUGUGGGCCCUAGGCCUAAGCCCAAAACCCACAAGCCUAAACCUGCACAUAAUAUAUUAGAAUCUUAUCAAGAUUUACAAAAUCUACACAAGAUUUAUAAAAUCCGAUUAAGAUCUCUACAAUCUACUCAAAAUCUCUGCAAAGAUUAUGUCUCAAAAUUUAGUAACACAAGAUCUCUUCAAAAUCACAAACUCUCUAUAAAAACCUUUCAUCAUCUUACUAUAAUCACACACAUACACACACACACACAAAUACAAGAAAACCCUUAUCCUUCUUCUGUUACCAUCUUUAUACACACAGAGACACACACGUAUAAAACACCUUAUCUUCUCAAACACAUAUACAUAACACAGAUAACACACCCACAUAUGAAAAUCAAAUCUCAUCCAUCUCACCAAACCAUCAACACACUCCCUCAUCCUCUCCCCCUCUGAUGAAGAUGAACGGCCAGACUCCGGCCAGGCAUGGCGGAGCCGGCGACGGCGGUGGUGGCUCUGAACGACGGCAACACCCACCCCCACAUUCCUCGUCUCUUUCAUCAUGCUAGACGAGCAGAAUCAGCCGGCCACCACCAUUUUCGGGUGGUGGCGUGUGGCGGCGACAAGCAGAAAGAAAGAGAGAGAAGAGUCGGAAAGAAAGAGAGACCAGAGUAGGUGAACCGACGGCGGCAAACAGCGCCGCCGUCUACGGUGGUGAGACGGAGGAACGCCGACGAGGGUUGGAUGGUUUUGUUCAGCUGAUGUUGUGGAUUCGGGGCUUAGAUUCAAGAGAUUCGUGGUUCGGGUUCUGAGAUGGUUUGAGUUUGGGUUCAGAUUCAUGUUCAGGUUUUAAGUUCAUCUCAGAUUUCAUGCUCGGGUUCUCGGGUCAGAUUCCGGGUCUCGUUUCAGCGGGUUUUCGUGUCUCGUUCGGGUUCAGUCAACAGAUGGGUUCAAGUCAGCUGGUCAGCUCGUUGUUCGGGUCAAGCGGCUUGGUCAGACGGUCCGGUUUGGUUAACUCGGUCAAACCGAGUCAACUCGGUCAAACCCGCUUAACUCAGCCAACUUCCUUCGGCAUUUCGACACGAAGAUUCGGAAUAUUGUAGAAUGCACGCUAGCGAGUCUCGUCUUGGAAACGACAUUACGAAGUCAUAAUUAGCUAACUUUGCACAAGACAAUCCAGGUUGCAUUUCAAAGUUAAGGCACGGUUGGAAUAGGAGAACCAUUGAGGAUUCGAGUACUUAGUUGGCGUUCGUUUUCUAGAAGUCUUGGCUUAAUUUCCUUCCGCUGUGCAAUGAAGAUACUAGUCCAGUCAUGUCAGCUCUGAUAUUUCGGGGUGUGACAUAAUCACCCUAAAAAUAAUCUAAACAACCAUAAACAACCUCAAAACACACGAAAUUUCAAAUCUAUUUAAAAAUUUUAUUACCCUUUUUCUCCUAUUAUAUCAACUAAUAUCAUCAAAAAAACAUAAAAACUUACCCUUUAUCGGAUUUCGGUUGGUUUGGUGUCAGACGACGGUGGUUCACGGCUGCUGAUGACGUGCUGUUGUGGCUGCUGUGUUCGCUGAUCGCUGGCAGGAGACGACACAAGAGAGGAGGGCGGGAGGAAUUCUAAGAGACUAUUGGGCUUAUUAUUAUAUAUAUCAAAUUACAUCGCAUGAUUGCGCUAGUGGUUUUUUAGGUUUACAAAUUUGGCCACCGUAGUUUGUCUUUUGAAAUUGUUGCACCAAUAAAGUAAGAGAGAGAUUGUUUCCUUCAAAACCCUGUGCACACAACUACAUGCAACCCCUAUGCACACAACUACAUGCAACCCCUAUGCUCUCCUUCUUCUUCGAUUACACACACACCCACCCUGAUUCCCACCUCUUCACCAGCGAUUAGCUGGUGCCGGCCGAAAUUCCCGCCACCGGCGCCCCCUCUCUCCGGCCGUCGCUCACCCACAAUCACCUGCAACUCCUCGAUCACCUGCAAACCCCCUUCAUAUCAUGUCUCCGGCACACAUACACCACACGCACACCCUGGUUUCUUCCGGCAACGAGACGCACAGAGAGAGAGAGAGAUUGGGGAUCGACACGGAAGACCAGAGUGUGAGAGAGAGAGGAGGAACACGCUGACGUCACUCCGGUGGCCGGAAACGGCGACUAGGCCAAUGACGCCACAUGGAGAUGAUUAUGAUGACGGUGUCGUUGAUGAUAACCUCAUUUCUCCGGUAAGAGCACCGGCGUUCCUUCGAUUUUUUUUUGGUAAAAAUUUCUACUUAAAAACAAAGCAGACCCGUUACCAUUUACAAUUUACACAUUCAGGUACGAUGCUAUGUUGAUAGUAAAAUUGUCAAUUUCUGCUUUAUGUGUUUUAAUAUGAUCUUGGUGCUACUUUCGAUCUACUUCAUAAACAUCAUAAUUUUCCAAAGACUAGAUCUAUAGACGCCUUAAUGCUUGCAAUAGCAGCUUGCUGAAGCACUUGAGAAGCUUUUCUUUCUUUCUUUAACUCAUUUAAUCAGCCUUUAGUAUAUGCUGGUAGGUUUUUGCCAUUUUGAUUAUGGUUUGUGUUUCAUUUUGGCAUUGACUAAAAUUGUUCAAUUUUUGUUUACCAUAACAUCCAUGUAUAGAUGUACUGAGAAAAAAAAACCUCAAUUUAAAUGGAUAAAUGCAUAAUUUCAUGUUUUUAAGUGUUUGCUUCCAACAAUGCAAAUCUACCCAUCUCAAAGAAAUCAUCUUAUUCAUGAAUAACAAGGCAAUCGUGAUAUUUUGAAGUAUUCUAAAAAUUUAGCCAAGCAAAGGAUUAUUAAUUCUUAACAAAAAUAGGUCGAAGC